rnacentral:lncRNA from 1 species
AAUAGGAAGAGGAGUGAGAAGGGAGAUGUGGAAAUAGUCACACCUCAAAUAAGACCAUUUGAAGGGUUCAAAGACUGAAGCGUUUCAGUGCCCGUUGGAACUAAACACUAUCCUCGAAAAAUACCUAGGUUAUCCAAUGAAGUUUUGUGACAAUUUUGGAAAGAGGUCUGGCUCUGGAGUAAGAGGAUCUGACUACCUGUG